rnacentral:pre_miRNA from 1 species
CCCCCUGGCUUACCUCCAGUUGAGGUAGUAGGUUGUAUAGUAGAGUUACAUCACUAAACAGACGAACUGUACAGCCUUCUAGCUUUCCUGGGGUACAGCACUG